rnacentral:rRNA from 1 species
UACGUAGGUGGCGAGCGUUGUCCGGAAUUACUGGGUGUAAAGGGAGCGCAGGCGGGAAGACAAGUUGGAUGUGAAAUACCCAGGCUCAACCUGGGGGCUGCAUCCAAAACUGUUUUUCUUGAGUGAAGUAGAGGUAGGCGGAAUUCCUAGUGUAGCGGUGAAAUGCGUAGAUAUUAGGAGGAACACCAGUGGCGAAGGCGGCCUACUGGGCUUUAACUGACGCUGAGGCUCGAAAGCGUGGGGAGCAAAC